AGGGGUGGCGAGGGGGCGAGGAGGGUGGCGGUGAGCGGCAGCUCUCGGAGUCGCCGAGUCGCCACGAGAGACGUGGGGAGCGGUGAGAGACGCGGCGGGGACGGAGGAGAGUUCCAUACAGCAGCAACUACGGUGCCACCGGAACACGACGGCAGACGAUGACAGGUCACACCCAGGUGUCAGCCCAAACCAGAGAGCUGCCACUGUGGUGGUGCAACGGUCAGCGCAAUGGACUCGACUGGACUUCAGCAAUCCAGAGGUCGCCGGUUCGAUUUCAUCUCCUGGCGAAGCGGCUGAAACAAUGCUUGCAAACAACUCCAGCGCCAAGUCCGCCUGCGACCCGGAGGACCGACGGAGUCCCGCGCUGAAUGUGCAGACGUCUCUCGUGUCGCCUCGCCGGCUGGUGAAGAGCUUCAUCAGGUUUCUCCUCCACGAAAUAGACAACAGAUCUGACGCUAGGCCAAGUCGACCAUCAAUCAACACGUGACCUUGGUACUAUUCGACGACGACGACUUGGGUGCGCCAACCAACCGGUGCCACGUGGCCUGCUACAAUUGCUUCUCCUCUGCUCGUUCACCCGGGAGGAAAGCCCUCGCCGAGCCUGCAGGCUCGUUUUCAGGAGGGAUGUUUGCCGCUGCUGUUGACGAUCCCAAUUGGCUAAUUUGCAGGUCAUUGUUCAACAUUCGCAUUUGUGGCCAAUAGGUAUGGGAGAAAACUGCAGAACCUUAAGGACACCCACGCAGAACAGGGGCAGAACGCAGACAGCACACAGAGAGGUGCCCGAGUCGGGAAUCGAAACCUUCCGGUUACCGAACGCAUACGUUGAGGUCACGCUCACUGCACACAAAGCGAGUGCCACAAAUGAACCACAAUAACUUGCUGAUCUCAAGGAACAGAAACCAUCACGCAAACUCAGGUCAUCCUCGCUGUGGAUUUUGGUAAACCAUUGAACAUAGCUGGCCACUGCAUCGUGCGCUUUCAGAUGCGCUUCUCCGGCCGUCUGGAACGCUCUGCCUUCACUGGAGCUAUGCAAUUUUAAAUCAUCUAGAUUAACAAACUCAUGUUCUUUAGAACUGCUUUGUGUUUAGUUUUUUUAUUCCCUCGCACCUCCAAUUUUCACGGUUUAGCUACGUACGGUGCAAAGUAGUUCAACGUACAUGCAUGCAAAGCGCGGCAUUCACGGCCUCCGAAUCAUUCCCUCUCUCUUCGAGAGCGAAAACGGUGCUAUCUGAUAAUUACGCAGAAGCCGUCUCAGCGAGACCUGGAAUGCGAGUAGAAGACACCGUCCCUUGCUCACCACUGACACACACGCUCCCCGUGACACGCGUUAAACGGGACCCCUCAUGGUGGGGUCACGACCCCUCGCCGUGCCCACCAGCACGCACACAGCCACCCGGGUCGGGGACGAUCACGCCGAGACGAAAGCGAGCGUGAUGAUCGAAUCCAAGUUCAUACGUUUCACCCCAACCCUUAUUAAAAAAAGUUAUUGGUGUGAGGAUCUGAUUGACCAAUACUGAAUGACCCCAAAAUCUCACCAGCAUCGCAGCCAAAACUGCCGGUCUGCAAAGUGCAGUGCCACAAGGCAACGACUCAACCGCAACCCAACUGCGACUUGCAAUAUUUGCUGAAAUGACGACGCCUGAUGAAUUUACUACAAAUCCAAAACAUAAGUGGACUGGCUGAAACCGUUGUGUCUUCCUGGAGUCUAUUCCGAGUUCCUGGACUUGAGGCCUGAAGAGGGCUUGGCACAGUUUCAAGCGAAAGGUCGGGGUUCUUACUGCUGCUAAAUCUGGCCUCCAGUUGUUUCUCGACUCUGACCCACGGCGAGCGAGCCAAAAACAAUUGGCUCGUCCCGAAACGCUUGUACACGUGACAAUUCAAUUUGCUUGGCUACGUCAGAUGGUGGAGGGUCUUACGACACAGACAGAAUCAAUAACGUGGCCUCGCCCAAAACAUUAUAACCACGAACGCCAAGUAGGCAGCUUUGUUUGACGAGGGCCAGCCAUGCGUGCGGAGGUGCGUGCGUGGGGGAGCGGGUGUAGGGGUCGCGGCUUCCCUGCUAGCGCCGCACACGGGGCCCACGCGUGCGCAGCCUGCCACGCUGUACCCACCUGAGGACCCAGGGCACACAGCAGCAGCACAAAAACACAAGCACACCGGGUCCUUCAGCACGACUGCAGCAACACCAUCUAUCUUAGCCAGUAAUAGACUGGCAGACUGCUCUCUGAUGGGUCUCUAGAUAGGAAGAAAUUGACAGACUGGUCUCUGGUGGGGUCUCUAGCCAGUAAUAGACUGGCAGACUGGUCUCUGAUAGCUUUGCUGUAGCGGAUUUUCGCGUUUUCAGUGAACGUUGCUCACAAACGCAUCGUCAAUGUAUUCACGAAGGUGCCGAGGUGGUGGCGAUGAUGGCGACGAGGAUGGUGAUGAGGAUGGUGAUGAAAACGUCGGGUGGAGGAGCACUAUUUGUGGUCAGAAAAGACAAUACGAGCAAAACACCGGUGAAAAUAAAAACACAAGACACGAACGAGUGAUGUUUUUGAACGGGUGACAUUUGCAAACCAACAAGUUGUCCACCAAGGGCACCGAGGGCAACAGUAGUCGAACCCCUAAGUGUGGACGUGCCUUUAGCAAAUCCUUCUCCCAGUGUACGGACCAUCCCUUGUGCCAGCCGAAUUCGCGGGGUUUUGGGUUGUGGUUUGUAGCAGCGGGGCAAGGGUUGAGGUUAGGGUUGGG